rnacentral:rRNA from 1 species
UACCAGCUCUCCGAGUGGUGUGGAUGUUUAUUGGGCCUAAAGCAUCCGUAGCUGGCUGGACAAGUCCCCUGUUAAAUCCACCGAUUUAAUCGUUGGUGUGCGGGGGAUACUGUUCGGCUAGGGGACGGGAGAGGCAGACGGUAUUUUCGGGGUAGGGGUGAAAUCCUAUAAUCCCGGGAAGACCACCAGUGGCGAAGGCUGUCUGCUAGAACGCGCCCGACGGUGAGGGAUGAAAGCUGGGGGAGCGAACCGGAUUAGAUACCCGGGUAGUCCCAGCUGUAAACGAUGCAGGCUAGGUGUUUGGACGGCCACGUGCCGUUCUAGUGCCGCAGGGAGCCGUUAAGCCUGCCGCCUGGGGAGUACGGCCGCAAGGCUGAAACUUAAAGGAAUUGGCGGGGGAGCACCACAAGGGUGAAGCUUGCGGUUU